GACAGAGGGGGCAAGCGUUGCUCGGAAUCACUGGGCGUAAAGGGCGCGUAGGCGGGAUGGCAAGUCGGUCGUGAAAUCCUUCGGCUCAACCGAAGAACGUCGGCCGAUACUGCCGUUCUUGAGGGAUGCAGAGGAGAUUGGAAUUCCCGGUGUAGCGGUGAAAUGUGUAGAGAUCGGGAGGAACACCGGUGGCGAAGGCGGGUCUCUGGGCAUCUCCUGACGCUGAGGCGCGAAAGCCAGGGGGAGCAAACGGG
rnacentral:rRNA from 1 species